rnacentral:rRNA from 1 species
UACGGGGGGAGCAAGCGUUGUUCGGAUUUACUGGGCGUAAAGGGCGCGUAGGCGGCCACCGCAAGUCGACUGUGAAAUCUCCGGGCUUAACCCGGAAAGGUCAGCCGAUACUGCGGGGCUAGAGUGCAGAAGGGGCAACUGGAAUUCUCGGUGUAGCGGUGAAAUGCGUAGAUAUCGGGAGGAACACCAGCGGCGAAGGCGGCUUUCUGGACCAAUACUGACGCUGAGACGCGAAAGCGUGGGGAGCAAACAGG